rnacentral:piRNA from 1 species
UCUAUAGACACUGGAUAGAAAGGAGGAA